rnacentral:tRNA from 1 species
AGUAGGGUGAUCGAGAAAAUUAGGUGAAAGAUUGUAAAUCUUUUUAGGGGUAUAGUUUAUUACCCUCCUACUA